rnacentral:pre_miRNA from 1 species
UCUUCAUUCCGCGUACUCUCUCACCGGUCAGAGUGGCGAGAGAGUUUGCAGAAUGAACAGA